rnacentral:rRNA from 1 species
ACGCUGGCGGCGUGCCUAACACAUGCAAGUCGAACGGGGUAUAUGUUUUCGGAUGUAUACCUAGUGGCGAACGGGUGAGUAACGCGUGAGCAACCUGACCUUUUGAGGGGGAUAACAACCGGAAACGGUUGCUAAUACCGCAUAAGACCACGCUGUCGCAUGGCAGAGGGGUCAAAGGAGCAAUCCGCAGAAGGAGGGGCUCGCGUCCCAUUAGAUAGUUGGUGAGGUAACGGCUCACCAAGUCAGCGAUGGGUAGCCGAGCUGAGAGGCUGAUCGGCCACACUGGAACUGAGACACGGUCCAGACUCCUACGGGAGGCAGCAGUGGGGAAUAUUGGGCAAUGGGGGAAACCCUGACCCAGCAACGCCGCGUGAGGGAAGAAGGCUUUCGGGUUGUAAACCUCUGUCAUUAGGGAAGAAAGAAAUGACGGUACCUAAUGAGGAAGCCCCGGCUAACUACGUGCCAGCAGCUGC